rnacentral:rRNA from 1 species
AGAGUUUGAUCAUGGCUCAGCCUGAACGCUGGCGGCGUGGCUAAGACAUGCAAGUCGCACGGGGUAGCAAUACCCAGUGGCGCACGGGUGAGUAAUGUAUCGCUAAUGUACCCUUUAGACAGGGAUAGCUGCCCGAAAGGGCAGGUAAUACCUGGUAAGACCACAGGCAGGCAUCUGCUGGUGCUCAAAGGUCGCAAGACGCUAUUGGAGCAGGCGAUAUCGUAUCAGCUAGUUGGUGAGGUAACGGCUCACCAAGGCGAUGACGCGUAGCUGGUCUGAGAGGACGACCAGCCACAUCGGGACUGAGACACUGCCCGGACUCCUACGGGGGGCUGCAGUAACGAAUCUUCCGCAAUGCACGAAAGUGUGACGGAGCGACGCCGCGUGUAGGAUGAAGUCCUUCGGGAUGUAAACUACUGUCAGGGGUAAGAAAGUUCUGAUCUACCCCAGAGGAAGAGGCGGCUAACUCUGUGCCAGCAGCCGCGGUAAUACAGAGGCCUCGAGCGUUAGGCGGAAUCACUGGGCUUAAAGCGUGUGUAGGUGGAUGCCUAAGUACCUUGUGAAAUCCCACGGCUUAACCGUGGAACUGCUGGGUAUACUGGGUGUCUUGAGCCACUCAGGGGCUACCGGAACAAACGGUGGAGCGGUGAAAUGCGUAGAUAUCGUUUGGAACGCCAAUGGUGAAAACAGGUAGCUGGGGGUGUGCUGACACUGAGACACGAAAGCCAGGGGAGCAAACGGGAUUAGAUACCCUCGUAGUCC